UUGAUUCAUUUUUCCUUGCAUGCCGCAAGACACUCAGACGAUACCGCUAUCAUAAAAUAGGAGCUUAUAGGCCUUCGGCGGGGGCCUGCUUCCGGCAUGCUGAGCAGCCGGGGCGAUCCCGCCGAAGCAACGUUCAGGUAUGUUCACAGUGGGUUUAGGAGUUGGAAACUCAGUAAUGAUCCCUCCGCUGGUUCACCAACGGAGA
rnacentral:misc_RNA from 1 species